CAGGAUGUAAUGAUUUUUCUACAGUUCACAGAGGUCCAACAGUCUUCAUCUAUGCAGUCACUUUUCUCUGUGAGAAAAGAAAUCAGCUAUGUGCUUCCUUUGAUCUCAUAGUGGAGUCUUCCCAUGGCCAUACCUCCUGAAGUACAGUUUCUUCUAUUCACAAGCAUUACCAAGAUGCAUGGUAUACCUGUUUGAUUCACUGGGGCUUUUAAGACUUUUCUCUUCAACAGUGCAGAAUGUGAACACGCCCAGACUUUUCAGCCUUACAGAUAUUAUCAGGAAUUCCUUGAAAAUAUGGAGAUGCUUUUAAAAUAAUUGGCCCCUGCCUGACAUGGAGACCGACAAGUCACAAGGCCCACCUCGAUGCUUCUCCUGCUGUGCCCAUCCCUCAUUUCGGGAGCAAUAACUGAGUUCUUUAUAACUGGACAACCUGCCUAGGAGCUCCAGAGCUUGCGUG